CCUACGGGAGGCAGCAGUGAGGAAUAUUGGUCAAUGGACGGAAGUCUGAACCAGCCAUGCCGCGUGCAGGAAGACGGCUCUAUGAGUUGUAAACUGCUUUUGUACAAGGGUAAACCUGAAUACGUGUAUUCAGCUGAAAGUACUGUACGAAUAAGGAUCGGCCAACUCCGUGCCAGCACCCGCGGUAAUACGGAGGAUCCAAGCGUUAUCCGGAUUUAGUGGGUUUAAAGGGUGCGUAGGCGGAUUGAUAAGUUAGAGGUGAAAUGUCCGAGCUUAACUCGGGAACUGCCUCUAAUACUGUUGAUCUAGAGUGUAGAUGCGGUAGGCGGAAUGUAUGGUGUAGCGGUGAAAUGCUUAGAGAUCAUACAGAACACCGAUUGCGAAGGCAGCUUACCAAUCUAUAUCUGACGUUGAGGCACGAAAGCGUGGGGAGCAAACAGGAUUAGAUACCCGUGUAGUC
rnacentral:rRNA from 1 species